GUGCCAGCAGCCGCGGUAAAACGUAGGAGGCGAGCGUUAUCCGGAUUUACUGGGUGUAAAGCGCGUGCAGGCGGUUUGGUAAGUUGGGUGUGAAAGCUCCUGGCUCAACUGGGAGAGGUCGCUCAAGACUGCCAGACUUGAGAGUGGUAGGGGAAGGUGGAAUUCCGGGUGUAGUGGUGAAAUGCGUAGAUAUCCGGAGGAACACCAGUGGCGAAGGCGGCCUUCUGGGCCACAUCUGACGCUCAGACGCGAAAGCUAGGGUAGCAAACGGGAUUAGAGACCCCGGUAGUCCUAGCCGUAAACGAUGUGAACUUGGCGCUGGGGCGGUAAAACGGUUCAGUGCCGAAGCAAACGCGAUAAGUUCACCACCUGGGGACUACGGCCGCAAGGUUAAA
rnacentral:rRNA from 1 species